GGCUGUGAAUUCAGUGUGAUACACAAUAAGUAUUCAUCAUGUAAACCUGGGUGACCUGGAUCUGCCUGCUGUGAAUCCUGUUUCCUUCUGCCUGGCUACUUUGCAAAUUGCAUCUGUUUGUGGCACGACGACAUCAUGUUCCCCUGCGGUCUGUACUGAGUCCUACGUCAGGACUGGCCUAGAACAGACAGAGACAUGAGGACCCUCCAUGAGACACAGCACAGUAAGCCUUAGACACCUGCUUGCUGCCAAGUCACACAGCCAAGACAGAGGAUGUCACUCAGGGUCCUGCCAGUUGUGUGACCAGUCUGCAGCCGAAAGUUCCAGAAUGUGUAAGCAUGUGGCAGACAGGACUGGUUAUUCAGGGGGAUGAUCUAUCUGUGGAGAUAAGAGGACAGUUGAUGGAUUUCUGGCCACUGGCUGCAGGCGGUGGUUGGCUUGAAGUGAGGCUGCCUGGGUGUGUGCCCCUGCAGGAAAAGCAGGAGGAAGGAGCCAGGCAAAGAGGACAGUCCUGUGUGGGAAGAUGUGUCACUGGUCAUUCUUUACAAAGAAAAUAAA